GCGAAAAUAGCUCAGAUGGUAGAGCAUCGGACUGUAACUCCGAGUGGCGCAGGUUCAAUUCCUGCUUUUCGCUCCA
rnacentral:tRNA from 1 species